CAGAAAAAUAAUUUGCUUUAGCUCGUAAAAGUUCAAUAAGUUUACCUUUGAUUUGGGGUCGAGUCUCAAGCCCAUAUAAACCUUUUUUCCAGAAAAUAAUGAAGAGGAUGGUUGCAUCUAAAUCUUUUCUAUCUGACUUGGUGACAUUUGGUUCUUCGAGAUUUGUUGAUCGUAUCCGGACCCUCUGGGACCCCUUGUUCAGCUACGUCUGAACUUUUGUUCUGUUGAAAUAGUUGAGGGUUCAAUAAGGCCAUCUCUCCAGCUAUCACCUGGAAUGGGUAUCGUUGAUUACACCUUUUGGGAAGGUUGCAAGGUAAUUUUCCUGUGCAUUAUUUUGUUAUAGUUGUUGAAUCCCAAAAAGUAGAGGCACCUUCGGAACGAUCUUUUUCAUUAGAUAAAUCUCUACGACACGUAAUUGGCUUACAUUUAUGGAGCAACGUGGGUCAAUAAAAAUACAUUUAACAUCAGCAUUCAAAACUUUUAAUAUGAUUACCAGUGCAUCAUGAUGCAGAAAUAUUAGGCCAUCUGUAUCCUCAUCGCCAAAAGUAAUUUUAUCCCUGAUUAAUAUUUUUGUGCUCCAUUUUUCAUGUGUGAUUGACACAUUGGAAUACUUUUUAGCAGUUGCGUAUGUGGCGCCGCUUACCUUUGCUCAUUAGGAGAUGACAUAAAUUGUGCGUUUGAGCGAUAGAGCUAGGGGUGGCUCUUCAUAUUUUUGAUUCUUAAAGAAGGUUUGAUUCCCCUUAUCGAUUAAUAGUUCCUUGAGAUAUUCCUUCUUGAUGAGAUAUGCCAGAUCAUGCUAUAAAGCCUUACAAUUUACGGUCUUAUGUCGGUCAUAAUUGUGAUUGUCACACCAAAAUUCAUGACUCUUUUUUUCUAGAAUCUGUUCUCAUAUCUUUGGGCCAUAUAACUUUGUCUCCUACUUCUCUCGUUGCAACUACUAGCUCGAAAGGGCUAACACUAAAGUUGUAAUUAACAAGAUUUGGCACAAUUGCUCAUUUACUUUCUCGUGACGAUACAACAUUAUUCUUUUGGUUAGUACCUCUAUUAUCCCGGCCUAUUUCCAAUCUCGGCUCAUCUCAGAUUCUUGCCAAGAACUACUAACUCUUUGAAUUUCUUCGAUCAGACUCUACUCUCUAUGUGUUGUCUCUGAUUGAUCAUUGUAGUAUUGUCUCCCUAUCCUACUGUUAGAUUUGACUGGUAGCGGAUUAUCUUCUUUCCUGUCAGAGUUUGGUACUAUAUUGAUAAUAUACGUCUCUCCAGUCCAUUGUGGAGAAUUCUUGGAGGCUGCCCUUUAACAUCCUAGUAGCCUCCAAACUGAUUUCAUUCACAUUAUUGGCAAAAGUCAACACAACCUAGUUAUGACUCUAUUAACAACAUCAUUAUUUUGAAAUUAGUCUAAAGUCUCAGAGUAUCUCUGUGCAUCUUUGCUGAAUUUUGAAGAUAUAUUUGAUCCACUUUCUUACUUUUUGGGCUUUGGUGUGUGCCUUAAUGCAGGAAUCUACAAGUUCUACAAAAGAACAAAUUUAGUUUUCAAGCAAGAGUGAAUACUGGGUUAAUGCUCCCUUUGUGAGCAUUUCUCCAAACACUUCGACCAGCACCGACUUGAUUUUUUAUUUUGUCAAGUCAUUUCCUUUGAUUUCACUAGUGUAGGUCAUGACAUGAUUCCGAGGAGCUGAAGUCCCAUCAAAUUUGGCAAGCAUUAGCAUCCUGAACUUCUUGGGUAUAGGCAGGGAAGCAGGUCACGACUUUCAAGGUUGUUGAGAGUAUCUUUCUAUAUUUAUCCCUUUGAGCGUUGGGUGGAGCCCCCAGUAUUCUUCAAUCCCUUGUUCUGCUCUUUGAUCUGUUUCAACAAAGCUUCCUGCAAAGACAAAAUAAAACAUUACAGUUCUAAAGUACUAGUGGUACCGAUACCUUGUCCAGUGUUACCGGUUCCCACACCUCUAGACCACAAUUCUUUGGUAACUUUGGAACUCUGUAGUGCGUCAUUUGUUGUUCCUUUAUCCAGUUCUACCGUUAGAGAUGCAGGUGAUCCUGUGUUUCAUGUUCCUAGCUAGAGCCAAUAUUACCACACUGAUCUACUUGUUCCAAGCAUGUUGUUGAAUUUACCUAAGUCCAAUUGAAUCCUUUCAUCCUCUUCAUUUGCAGUUCUUUGGGUUGGUGUUAAUGUUGAUUUCGUUGGGAUUGAUAUGAAUUUUGUGAUGAUGAUAACCUACUUUUAUUUUCAGCCAUGAUGUGUCACAAACAAUAAAGAGAAAAUCAAUCAAAGGAUCAGAAAAACUUUGGAAUAA